rnacentral:rRNA from 1 species
CAGUAGGGAGGAAGGUAGUGUAGUUAACACCUGCACUAUUUGACGUUACCUACAGAAGAAGCACCGGCUAACUCCGUGCCAGCAGCCGCGGUAAUACGGAGGGUGCGAGCGUUAAUCGGAAUUACUGGGCGUAAAAGCGCAUGCAGGCGGCCUGUUAAGUCAGAUGUGAAAGCCCGGGGCUUAACCUCGGAAUUGCAUUUGAAACUGGCAGGCUAGAGUCUUGUAGAGGGGGUAGAAUUUCAGGUGUAGCGGUGAAAAUGCGUAGAGAUCUGAAGGAAUACCAGUGGCGAAGGCGGCCCCCUGGACAAAGACUGACGCUCAGAUGCGAAAGCGUGGGGAGCAAACAGGAUUAGAUACCCCUGGUAG